GUACUCCCAGGGAGAACCACUGAUAUCUGGUCUGCAGGGCGUUAGCAGGAAAUUCAGCCCCAGUAGAGGUACUAAGAGAACAGUAGCUCUGAAAGAAGAAAAUCAAAUUUACUUAUAUCAAAAAAUCCUCAGAGAGAAAUUUAUACAGGUCGCCGACAUGGCAAUGUUUAGACGGACCGGAAAAUUGCGGUAUUCCUUGGAUUAACCGGGAUGCUGCUGUUCCUGGUAAGACCGGGGCGUUGCAAGUGUCGGGGAUCGGGAUACCCAGCAUUUGAUAUUUAUUGCUUACUUAUUUAUGUACUCUUGCUGACUAAAUAUGUUGUUGAAUUAGGUUUAUGAGCAUUAUUAUUAUUAUUAUAUGUAUUUUUAUUUUUAUUAAUUUUUUGGGAAAUUUGUGGUUUUUGUAUGUAGCUAUCCAUGCUAAAUAAAGAUGAUUAUUAUUAUUA